UACGGAGGGUGCAAGCGUUGUUCGGAUUUAUUGGGCGUAAAGCGCGUGUAGGCGGUUUCUUAGGUCUGAUGUGAAAGCCCUGGGCUCAACCCAGGAAGUGCAUUGGAUACUGGGAAACUUGAAUACGGGAGAGGGUAGUGGAAUUCCUAGUGUAGGAGUGAAAUCCGUAGAUAUUAGGAGGAACACCGGUGGCGAAGGCGGCUACCUGGACCGAUAUUGACGCUGAGACGCGAAAGCGUGGGGAGCAAACAGG
rnacentral:rRNA from 1 species